rnacentral:sRNA from 1 species
GAUAAGAAACAGGUUUGCCCACAGAGUAUUUCCCUAUUCAGCUUAUUUUUUUAAGUGUAAGCUGAUGUUUUGGGGCCACAUGGAGACUAUGAACUAAAAGAAGUUAGCAUGGAAGCCACCCUGGAGGCCCUUUUUGGUCAUGUGGUGACAUCCUUGAACCCCAUUCCCUUCAUUUUUCUUGAUGACCCUACAUUGCCACCUGGCAGUGUCCUUUCAUUUUGAGCUUGGUUUCCCUUAAAGGCAAAACCCCAGUCCCAGCUGGAGAGGAAGAGGGUGAGCUGGGAGAAUACCGGCAAAAGCUCCUCAUGUUCUUGGAGAUUUCCAGCUGCUAUGAUCCAGGCCGGCUCAUCUGUGAUUUUCCCUUUGAUGGCCUCUUAGAAGAACGAGCUCUUCUGUUGGGGCGCAUGGGGAAACAUGAGCAAGCUCUUUUCAUUUAUGUCCACAUCUUGAAGGAUACAAGGAUGGCUGAGGAGUAAGUUUGCCCCAACAUCCCACCUCCUAAGCAGUCUAAAAGCAGGCCCCGCAGAGAGAUGAGAG